AUUGAACGCUGGCGGCAGGCCUAACACAUGCAAGUCGAGCGGGGUUUUCGGACCUAGCGGCGGACGGGUGAGUAAUGCGUAGGAAGCUGCCCGAUAGAGGGGGAUACCAGUUGGAAACGACUGUUAAUACCGCAUAAUGUCUACGGACCAAAGUGUGGGACCCUCGGGCCACAUGCUGUCGGAUGCGCCUACGUGGGAUUAGCUAGUUGGUGAGGUAAUGGCUCACCAAGGCGACGAUCCCUAGCUGGUUUGAGAGGAUGAUCAGCCACACUGGAACUGAGACACGGUCCAGACUCCUACGGGAGGCAGCAGUGGGGAAUAUUGGACAAUGGGCGAAAGCCUGAUCCAGCCAUGCCGCGUGUGUGAAGAAGGCCUUCGGGUUGUAAAGCACUUUCAGUAGGGAGGAAGAGUUGAGUGUUAAUAGUACUCAGCUUUGACGUUACCUACAGAAGAAGCACCGGCUAACUCUGUGCCAGCCGCCGCAGUAAAAC
rnacentral:rRNA from 1 species